CUGAAACCUCCUCUGUAUUUGUGCUUCUCAGCUUUCAAUUUUCAAUCCUGUAGUGGAAACUCAGCUUCUCAGCUCUGAGAUGAGUGUUACAAAGGCUUCCUUACCUAUGCUCAGCACUACAAGCAGCCCGCAGGAGGGAGAAGUGGAAUUUCCUAGGGAGAUACAAGGGGACUUUUGACUACUGGAUCGGCCUGCACAGAGUCGUCAAAGCACCCUUGGAGGUGGACAGACAACACUGAGUAUAACAACAUGAACUCAGCAACCCAUGGCCGCUGGUGGCGACACUGCACAGAGAGUCAACAGAACACUUUUGGUGGUGGACAGACAACACUGAAUAUAACAGCUUGUAUGUUUCAGACUGCUUUUCCUUCUACUGUGUUCCUGUGGUGUGAUGUUUGUCAAUUGUAGCUAAUGAAAGAAAAUGAGAUUUUGUAUCUUGUGAUUCAUGUAAAAGAGUUGUCUAUGAGCUGUGGCCUGGGGCCGAGAACAAAGCAGAAGACAAAGACAGGGCUGUUGUUAAGACAUUCCUAAGAACAGCUUGAUUGUACAAGCAGGGCUACCUUGUCUGGCUCAACACCACCUGGCCGGAACCUCCCCUCUGUCUACUGCCCCUUGACGUCGGGUAAAGUCAUACAUCAGCUGGUUGCUAUGUGAACAAAAUAAGCCCCCAGCUCACAGGAACAAAGUCCUGAUGCCCUUUUGCUAACAUGUAAUCUUUCUGUUAAUAUUUAAAUAAGCCAAUAGUGUGUCACUAUGCUGAAUUUCACACCCCUAAGCUCCUUACCCCAUAAAAACCCCUAGCUUUCAAGCCUCGUGGCCGACUUCCAUUAUCUCCUGUGUGGGAUGCAUGUUGGGUCCGGAGCUCCGUCAUUAAAUGUCCUCAUGUAAUUACAUCAA